GACGAACGCUGGCGGCGUGCUUAACACAUGCAAGUCGAACGGUAAGGCCCCAGCUUGCUGGGGUACACGAGUGGCGAACGGGUGAGUAACACGUGGGUGACCUGCCCCGCACUUCGGGAUAAGCCUGGGAAACUGGGUCUAAUACCGGAUAGGACCGCACCGUGGGGGUGUGGUGGAAAGUUUUUCGGUGUGGGAUGGGCCCGCGGCCUAUCAGCUUGUUGGUGGGGUAAUGGCCUACCAAGGCGGCGACGGGUAGCCGGCCUGAGAGGGUGGACGGCCACAUUGGGACUGAGACACGGCCCAGACUCCUACGGGAGGCAGCAGUGGGGAAUAUUGCACAAUGGGCGGAAGCCUGAUGCAGCGACGCCGCGUGGGGGAUGACGGCCUUCGGGUUGUAAACUCCUUUCACCAUCGACGAAGGUUUUCUGACGGUAGAUGGAGAAGAAGCACCGGCUAACUACGUG
rnacentral:rRNA from 1 species